ensembl:lncRNA
GCCCGUGUUGUACUGACAUAAACUAUACGGGCUUAGCAGACAUGGAGGCCCGAUUAAUGACCGAGGCCCAUUCCGACCCGUCUCGGCUCAGCUAACGUUGUGUUGGAGAAGAGUCCAGUCGCGUUUGGGGAUAUCAAAGAUACCAAUUGCUGUCAGUUGGGAACAUAAAUACUGUGGCGACCAUGUUGAUACGCACGAAGGGAGGAUUUUGAUCCACAUAAUGUGAACACUGUUGUACUCCUACGGAGCUUGAAGGACGGAGAAAGAGGGCUGGGCAGCCAGGAAAGGAGCCACCAAACAAGGAUUGCUUUUCAGCUUCCCCAAUAUCCCCCUUCACCCCUAUCCCGUCUCCUUCUGCACCACGGCUUUUCCCU